rnacentral:rRNA from 1 species
AACGAACGCUGGCGGCAGGCUUAACACAUGCAAGUCGAGCGCCCCGCAAGGGGAGCGGCAGACGGGUGAGUAACGCGUGGGAACGUGCCCUUUGCUACGGAAUAGCUCCGGGAAACUGGAAUUAAUACCGUAUGAGCCCUACGGGGGAAAGAUUUAUCGGCAAAGGAUCGGCCCGCGUUGGAUUAGCUAGUUGGUGGGGUAAAGGCCUACCAAGGCGACGAUCCAUAGCUGGUCUGAGAGGAUGAUCAGCCACAUUGGGACUGAGACACGGCCCAAACUCCUACGGGAGGCAGCAGUGGGGAAUAUUGGACAAUGGGCGCAAGCCUGGUCCAGCCAUGCCGCGUGAGUGAUGAAGGCCUUAGGGUUGUAAAGCUCUUUCACCGGAGAAGAUAAUGACGGUAUCCGGAGAAGAAGCCCCGGCUAACUUCGUGCCAGCCGCCGCAGUAA